GAUGAACGCUGGCGGCGUGCCUAAUACAUGCCAGUCGAGCGAACGGACGAGAAGCUUGCUUCUCUGAUGUUAGCGGCGGACGGGUGAGUAACACGUGGAUAACCUACCUAUAAGACUGGGAUAACUUCGGGAAACCGGAGCUAAUACCGGAUGAUAUUUUGAACCGCAUGGUUCAAAAGUGAAAGACGGUCUUGCUGUCACUUAUAGAUGGAUCCGCGCUGCAUUAGCUAGUUGGUAAGGUAACGGCUUACCAAGGCAACGAUGCAUAGCCGACCUGAGAGGGUGAGCGGCCACACGGGAACUGAGACACGGUCCAGACUCCUACGGGAGGCAGCGGGAGGGAAUCUGCCGCAAUGGGCGAAAGCCUGACGGAGCAACGCGGCGGGAGUGAUGAAGGUCUUCGGAUCGUAAAACUCUGUUAUAGGGAAGAACAUAUGUGUAAGUAACUGUGCACAUCUUGACGGUACCUAAUCAGAAAGCCACGGCUAACUACGUG
rnacentral:rRNA from 1 species